rnacentral:misc_RNA from 1 species
AAGUCGUAACAAGGUAACCGUAGGUGAACCUGCGGUUGGAUCAUUACAAAUGAACCACCAUUGGGUUGAGUCUUUACUAGCUUGCUGGUAUUGAUUCCCCUCUGGUAUAAACCACUGUGCACUGUAUUGUUUUUUGGGGGAUAUGCUGACAGGUCGAAAGACCAGUCCUGCCCCCAGCGUUAUCAACAAACCUAUUAAAUCAAACUGAAUUUUUUUCAUACGAAAUAAAAACAACUUUAGACAACGGAUCUCUUGGCUCUC